CUGAGGAAUACAGAGUGCUAGAAUGAAAAUGAGCCUGCAAAGGAAAUGGAAUGAGGAAUAGGUUUGUUUUGGUCACCCAGAAGGGAACCUAUCACACACAUUCACACAAACACACCUAAGGCCUAACAGCCACUUCAUACUGAUUCCUGACACCAAAAUAAAAUAAAGAUGGAACUUCAGAGAGAUAAGACAAAGAGAAGGAGUGGAAAUGAAGCUGCCAAGGAAAACUGGACUGAUUUUGCAAAGUUUCAGAAUCAUAAUCUGAAUGGAUCUCUGGGAAGCUGGAAAAAAUCUAUUUGUCAAAUUAAGAAUUUUCUAAUAUUCUGAAGACAAUUAAAGGACAUGGUGCCUGAGAAGUGCUUUAGCAUUGUUCCUGGCAUGAAAGAAGUGCUCAAGGAAUAAUUUUUAAUAGUAUUAUUAAGACAAUUGCUUAAACUUUGUUUUUCUUUUUCUUCCCUCUCCUACUCCUCUUUCUCUCCACAGAUAGAUAUGUACUUAGAUGGAUGCACAUACUUUGUAAUUUCUAUGGCAUGUAUUACUUAAUAUAUAUGAGAGUAAAGUUAAAUUUCUGUGUUUUCAAUAGGAAUAAUAUAAUAAUAUAAUAUAGAUGUUAAUGAUUAAAGAAAUUCUAAUUUGUGGGCUUUGAAAGGGUAUUUCUAAAAUUAUAUAAGAAGGGACAUUUACUAUCUUUGCAUUAUAUAUUACAUCAUAAUUAUCCUUUGUCCAUCUCUAAACUAUUUUCACAGUAUAUUUUUCCUAUCAAAGUUGAGAUAAAUGUGUGUCUAGAAGAUAAAUGGGAUACAUUUAAAACUCCAUUUCACCAUCUUCCAGACACAGCAGUAUGCCAAUAAAUAUUUGUAUAAGUAUGUAAUACAUAGGUUAAAACAAAUGUUACUAAUUACAUGGAUUAUCUGGAU
rnacentral:lncRNA from 1 species